AUUGAACGCUGGCGGAAUGCUUUACACAUGCAAGUCGAACGGCAGCACGGGGGCAGCCCUGGUGGCGAGUGGCGAACGGGUGAGUAAUACAUCGGAACGUGCCCGGUCGUGGGGGAUAACGUAGCGAAAGUUACGCUAAUACCGCAUACGAUCUGAGGAUGAAAGCGGGGGACCUUCGGGCCUCGCGCGAUCGGAGCGGCCGAUGCCAGAUUAGGUAGUUGGUGGGGUAAAGGCCUACCAAGCCGACGAUCUGUAUCUGGUCUGAGAGGACGACCAGCCACACUGGGACUGAGACACGGCCCAGACUCCUACGGGAGGCAGCAGUGGGGAAUUUUGGACAAUGGGCGCAAGCCUGAUCCAGCCAUUCCGCGUGCAGGACGAAGGCCUUCGGGUUGUAAACUGCUUUUGUACGGAACGAAAAGGCUCUGGCUAAUACCUGGGGCUCAUGACGGUACCGUAAGAAUAAGCACCGGCUAACUACGUG
rnacentral:rRNA from 1 species